AGCUCAGUUGGUUAGAGCACCACCUUGACAUGGUGGGGGUCGGUGGUUCGAAAAAACGCGAUUGAGCGUUUUAGACGAGCCUCGAAGAG
rnacentral:tRNA from 1 species